UUCUCAAGUACAAAGCUAGUGAAAGACCCUCAAAGAGGGGAGACCCUCACUCAAGUCUCAGGAUUACGAGACUCCCCAAGAACUCACGAGAGACU
rnacentral:pre_miRNA from 7 species